UAUGACGGGUAGCUGGUUUGAGAGGAUGAUCAGCCAGACUGGGACUGCGAUACGGCCCAGACUCCUACGGGAGGCAGCAACUAGGAAUCAUGCGCGAUGGACGAAAGUCUGACGCUGCGACGUCGCGUGAGGGAUGAAGGUCUUAGGAUCGUAAACCUCUUUUAUCUGGGAACAAGUUCUGAGUGUACCAGAUGAAUAAGUGCCUGCCAACCACGUGCCAGAAGCAUCGGUAAUGCGUGGGGCACGAGCGUUAUCCGGAUUUACUGGGCGUAAAGAGAUGCGUAGGCGCCUUUUUAAGUCACUUGUAAAAUCUCCCCGCUCAACGGGGAAACUGCAAGUGAUACUGAAUUGGUUGAGUCAAGUAGAGGAGAGGGGAAUUCCUGGUGGAGCGGUUAAAUGCGUUGAUAUCAGGAGGAAUACCAAGUGCGAAGGCACCUCUCUGGACUUGUACUGACGCUAAGGCUCGAAAGUGUGGGGAGCAAAACGGAUUAGAUACCCGUGUAGUCCACACUGAAAACGAUCCCUGCUAGAUGUUUGCUUUGUUUUG
rnacentral:rRNA from 1 species